rnacentral:piRNA from 2 species
UUUGAGGGUGAUGAUGGAUUCUGUGU